GAUGAACGCUGGCGGCGUGCUUAACACAUGCAAGUCGAACGGAAAGGCGCUGCUCUUGCUGGGUGCUCGAGUGGCGAAGGGGUGAGUAACACGUGAGUAACCUCCCCUUGACUGUGGGAUAACUUCAGGAAACUGGGGCUAAUACCGGAUAGGAGCUCCUGCUGCAUGGUGGGGGUUGGAAAGUUUCGGCGGUUGGGGAUGGACUCGCGGCUUAUCAGCUUGUUGGUGGGGUAGUUGCAUACCAAGGCUUCGACGGGUAGCCGGCCUGGGAGGGUGGCCGGCCACAAUGCGCCUACGAGAGGGCGCAGUCGGCUACGGUAGGCAAUAGGGGGAAAUAUUGCACAGUGGGCGGGAGCCUGAUACAGCGGCGCCGGGUGCGGAAUGACCGCCUUCUGGGUAAAAACCGCUUUCGCCUGAGACGAAGCGUGAGUGACGGUAACGGAUAAAGAAGCACCGGCUAACUACGUG
rnacentral:rRNA from 1 species